UUCCGUAGGUGAACCUGCGGAAGGAUCAUUCGCACUAUCCAAACCAAUCAAUGUGAACCUCCCUUGUGAGCGACUGGGUGGAGAUGGUUGCAGCAGUGCACUUCCUCCAUGCGGAAGCUCGCGGGUGGCAGGGCAUCCUGGCAACACGUGUUGCAUUCCCUCGUGGGGUGUGGUGCGGCGGCCCAGGUUGUUCCUGUUGCCAUUGUGUCUGCUUUGGCUCAACUCUGUGCUUUCUUAACGAGUUUUAGCCUUUCUGUUCUGAUACAUAUUUUGUGUCACAACUUUCAGCGACGGAUAUCUCGGCUCAAGCACCGAUGAAGGGCGCAGCGAAGUGUGAUAAUCAUUGUGAAUUGCAGAAUUCCGUGAACCAAUGGAUUCUUGAACGUGCAUUGCACUCUCGGGAUAUCCCUGGGAGUAUGCCUGCUUCAGUGCUUGUGGGACCCUCAUGCAGGUGUGGUCUCACUAUCGUGAGUCCACUCACCUGCGUCUUUGUGUGCCAUGGCUGCGCUUUCGGGUGGAGUGAGUGGCACAUGCAGGAGUGUUCGAAGAGAGCUGCAGCUUCUGCAACUUGUGAGCUUGUGCUUCACUUUUGUUACAGAUUCUUGCGGCGCUCCAACCACACAUAGCAGCUCUCAGCAGCUUGUCCCAUGCACAGCAUGAAGUCAGGUCAGCAAACCCGCUGAAUUUAAGCAUAUCA
rnacentral:rRNA from 1 species